GACGAACGCUGGCGGCGUGCUUAACACAUGCAAGUCGAACGGAAAGGCCCAGCUUACUGGGUACUCGAGUGGCGAACGGGUGAGUAACACGUGGGUGAUCUGCCCUGCACUCUGGGAUAAGCCUGGGAAACUGGGUCUAAUACCGGAUAUGACCAACUGUCGCAUGGUGGUUGGUGGAAAGCUUUUGCGGUGUGGGAUGGGCCCGCGGCCUAUCAGCUUGUUGGUGGGGUAAUGGCCUACCAAGGCGACGACGGGUAGCCGACCUGAGAGGGUGAUCGGCCACACUGGGACUGAGACACGGCCCAGACUCCUACGGGAGGCAGCAGUGGGGAAUAUUGCACAAUGGGCGCAAGCCUGAUGCAGCGACGCCGCGUGAGGGAUGACGGCCUUCGGGUUGUAAACCUCUUUCACCAGGGACGAAGCGUGAGUGACGGUACCUGGAGAAGAAGCACCGGCCAACUACGUGCCAGCCGCCGCGGUAAGAC
rnacentral:rRNA from 1 species